UCCGCCAGGGUACUACAAGCGCAGCUUAAAACCCAAAGGACUUGGCGGUGCCUCAGACCCACCUAGAGGAGCCUGUUCUAAAACCGAUAACCCCCGUUAAACCUCACCACUUCUUGUUUCUACCGCCUAUAUACCGCCGUCGUCAGCUUACCCUGUGAAGGCCUAGCAGUAAGCAAAACGGGCCCGCCCAAAAACGUCAGGUCGAGGUGUANCGUACGAAGUGGGAAGAAAUGGGCUACAUUUUCUACAAUAGAAUAUUACGGACGGCGCUCUGAAACUGGCGCCUAAAGGUGGAUUUAGUAGUAAAAA
rnacentral:rRNA from 1 species